rnacentral:rRNA from 1 species
AACGAACGCUGGCGGCAGGCCUAACACAUGCAAGUCGAACGGGACCUUCGGGUCUAGUGGCGGACGGGUGAGUAACGCGUGGGAACGUGCCCUUUGGUUCGGAAUAGCCCCGGGAAACUGGGAGUAAUACCGGAUAAGCCCUACGGGGGAAAGAUUUAUCGCCAAAGGAUCGGCCCGCGUUGGAUUAGGUAGUUGGUGAGGUAAUGGCUCACCAAGCCGACGAUCCAUAGCUGGUUUGAGAGGAUGAUCAGCCACACUAGGACUGAGACACGGCCCAGACUCCUACGGGAGGCAGCAGUGGGGAAUCUUAGACAAUGGGGGAAACCCUGAUCUAGCCAUGCCGCGUGAUCGAUGAAGGCCUUAGGGUUGUAAAGAUCUUUCAGUGGGGAAGAUAAUGACUGUACCCACAGAAGAGGCCCCGGCUAACUCCGUGCCAGCAGCCGCGGUAA